UCCAUCCAGGCACCUUAUGCGCAGCUCAGUAUACGGUUAACGAUAAAUGGUAUCGUGCGAGAGUUGUAAAGGAGUCUGGACCGAAUCCUUUGAAGUUGUUUAUGUUGACUACGGGAAUAAGGAAGCAUUACCCAAACAAAGGAUCAAGGCACUACAUCCCAGUUUUCUUGAACUACCUGCGCUAGCUUUGCGCUGCAGUCUGGAGACGAAACACCCUCUGACUUGGAAUGAUGAAUUGAAGGGAAAAUUUGUGAGUGAAACUACUGACAAACGUUUAACGAUGACCGUUGUAAAAGUGGUUGGCAGUCAACAUGUUGUGACUUUAAAGAAUGACGAGGGAUUGUUGUUGAACGAUAUGUUCAUUGAUGGAUAUGGUGAAAAUGAUUCAAAUAUGAAAUCCUCUCAGGAAACCCAAAUUACUUUAUCCUCAUUUCCUGUGGUUGAGAAAACGACUGUCCAAGUAUUCACCAGUCACGUGGUCAGUCCACGCGAGUUCUUUGUUCAGCUUGCGACAGCGGAGACUGAGCUCGAACGCCUUGCGAGAUUUGCCGAAAUCUAUAAUUAUUGGCCUGAUGGUGAUAACUACAAACUGGACAAUGUGAAAGAGAAUAUGUUUUGCUGUGCGCGGUUUUCUGAAGAUGGAGUCUGGUACCGAGCUCAAAUCCUUACUGUCGAUUUCGACGAUAAAAAGGCAACGGUUCGAUUCGUUGACCACGGAAACUCGGAUGUGGUUGAUACUUCUUCUGAUCUACGACGUCCAACCGCUGAACUGUCAUCGUCGCCUUGUCAAGCUGUACCUUGCCGACUUUCGGGCGGACCUUGGUCCCAGGAACAGAACUUGAUUUUCGUCACGGCCGUUGUGGAUAAACCACUAAUGGCUACUUUUAUUGAAUUCUGCGACAACUUUUGGCUUGUAACCUUAGUAGAUGACGGGCAACCAAUUAACGAAUUGUUGAACCCUCGUAAAGAAUCUCAUGAGACCCCAAGCAAUGGAAAACAAUGUAUUCCGAAACCGAUUUUAAAACCUGCAGACGAGUUACCUGUAUACAUUGUCAGCGCAACCGCAGCUAAAGAUGCGAUACUUCAAAUAAGUAGUAGUUUAAGUGAUUUGGAGACUUUGAUGGACGAUAUAGCAAACGAUCCUCCUCAGAUCCGAUUGACAAAGAACGAAAUCGAAGUUGGAGACUAUUGCCUUGCUCGCUUUACUGAAGACGAGGCCUGGUACCGAGCAAAGAUAUUAGAAGUUGAUGGGGACAAUGUCAGUGUUUUUUAUGUUGACCAUGGUAAUAAAGAAUGGCUUUUGUUUGAUGAACUUGCUCCGAUAAAUGAAAGAUUUUGUAAUUUGCCCGAGUUUUGUUUUUGUUGCUCUUUGGAUCUAUCGACAGUUGACGGGGUAUGGUGUGAAAAUACUGCUGGUAAACUUCUUGAAAUGUUUUCGGAAAAUGAGUUACUUUGUAAAAUUUCCACAAAUAAUGACGAUGGUGUGUUGGUAAAGCUGUAUUGUGAUGGUGAGGACAUUUUGAGUCAUGUUGUGGAAUAUGAAAAUGUGUCAGUAUCGAAACUCAUUGAAAAUAACAAAGAAAUCCACGAAAUUCAACGUUUUGUUGUAUAUGAAUUCAAUAUCGACGAUAAGAAUGUUACGUGUUCUCAUAUUGAAUCACCGAAGAAACUUUGGUGUCUAUUAUCAACCAAUGAAACGGAAUUAAAUGAUCUUAUGAACCACUUAGAUGAAGUAUAUGGUAGCCUUGGUCCCGAAGAACUACUUGCUCACAAUUACGACGUCGGACGUCCUUGUUGUGGUCAAUUUCUUGAAGAUGAUGGGUGGUAUCGUGCUGAAAUUGUUGAAGUUGUACCAGAAGGUGUACGUGUUCGCUACGUGGAUUAUGGUAACGAAGAGGUGUUAUCAACAUCAAGAAUUCGUGUUCUUAAAGACGAGUUCCUUGUUUUACCUUGUCAAGCUUUUCUUUGUGAAGGCCUUUUAAAUCAUUUAAAUUCCACAAACGUUGAUGGAGGCUCAAAUUAAUCGGUUCAAUGUGCUUGUGAAUGAGUAUUUUAAAAUCAACGAGUUUCAAUUGGUGUUUUCCAGCUUUAUAGCACGAGACCAAACGCAUGACAACGAAAAAGAUGAGAAGUUCCUUUCGGCAUUUACAGAAUUGUGGAAAACUAUCAAUUCCUUACUGGAGACUGAGAAAAAGGAUGUGGUACUCGACUUAAUGAACUUUCCAUUAAUUUGUUGUUAAUGGCCGAAUCCGCUGAAUGUUUAAUCUCAAUAGGCCGUGUUCGCUAAACAUUUGUUUCAGUUUACUGUUCAACAUAAGUAAUAUUAUUGGAAAGAAAGAUCCGAACACAACAUUAUUUUAUGUAAUGUUAGAAACUUACAGCUCUUUGUUGGCAGAAAAUGACAUUCCCAGCAUCAGAAAUGUUUUUAGUCAAGUGCUUCCUGUUGUUUUUGAACACAAAGCUUGGGGUAUCUUGCACAAUCUUCUGGAAAUGUUUAGUUAUCGCUUACCGUUUAUUCCCCAGAACUAUCGUGUUCAUCUCAUGUCUCUUAUACACUCAAUUGCUGCAAUACCGCAGACGAAUCAAAAUUAUCAACUCCAUUUAUGCCUGGAAAGCACAGCGUUUUGUUUAAUUCAAGGUCUCGAGAAUCAUGUCGUCGAGUCGUAUUUUACAAAACACAAACCUAAUAUG